CUUUCUCCCCGCCGCAUUCCCGGUGUCGACUUACUAGCUGCAAGCCUCUGCCUGCCUUCCUGCGCGCCGUUCCCCGCUAGUCGCUGCUGCUGGCGCGCACUCGCCGGGUUUUUCCUCCCACGGCCUCGAGAUGGUGGUGAAUGUGGCACGGAGGAGCCGGGCCUUCCAACCCGGUGGGCCCGAGCUCCGAAAGGCCCCCUCGGCAGUGAGAGGGGCGGGAGCCCGCGGGGGCCGCGCCCUUCUCUCGCUUCGGACUGCGCAACGCUGCGCUCUGGGCUGACAGGUGAGUGUUGCAGGCAGGCGGCCGGGUUUACGGAAGGGGUGGGGGUUUGGGAACCGGUCUCCUGGGGGAUGCGGGGAUGAAUCCCUGGGCCUGAAGUGUCUUAAUUCAGGGGGAGGCCGCAUGCUGGUGUCAGGAUGGCCUCCAGUUGAAUCUGUGACAUUUACCAGCUAGGUGAUUUUGGGACUGGUGACUACGCGCGAGACCUCUGGAGGUCGCCCUGGUAGACACGGUUUUCAGAAGGACGGGUUUUAGGCAUUCAGACCCUUGCGUGCAUCCCAGCUUGUUGCUUUCAGCCUCGCUAAGUGACUAAGCGACCUUCAGGAAGUAACUUAAUCGGUCUAAACCUCUUACCUGUAAUAGGCGGAUAAAACGGUCCCAUCAAGACUGAGAAAAAGCACACCAGCUAUUGGCACAGCGUGGGCAGUGGGGCCUACAGGAUGACUGACUUAGUCUACAGAGAUCCCGGCGUACUUAAGCAGAUGAAGACUCUUAAGAUGACAGAAGGUGAUUUUUCUGGUGAUCGAGGACUUCCGGGGUAAUGACAGUGAUGAAAUGCAGGGGACCUGGUUGCCCCCAAGUUUCCUGGCAGUGUGUGAUACUGAGGAGAUUCAUGUUACAUGUAAAGCUGUCCUCAUUUGUGACUAUGGACCUAUGGAGUUGGGACAAUCUCUAUGGGAAGCAGAAGGCAAGGACCCCGGUCAUUUUAGGUAGAAACAACAGCAUGCUAAUGCAAAAAAUUAUGCAGUGUGCUACUGAACUUCAGAGGUGAUCAAUAAAAGAAGAAUAAAAAGACUAAUAAAAGUA
rnacentral:lncRNA from 1 species